GCGGUGGUAGUUCAGUAGCAGAAUUCUCACUUCCCAUGUGGGAGACCCAGGUUCGAUUCCUGGCCAACACA
rnacentral:tRNA from 1 species